rnacentral:rRNA from 1 species
GACGUAGGGCGCGAGCGUUGUCCGGAUUCAUUGGGCGUAAAGAGCACGCAGGCGGUUUGGCAAGUCGGAUGUGAAAACCUGAAGCUCAACUUCGGGCGUGCAUCCGAAACUGCCCGACUAGAGGUAGGUAGGGGAGAUCGGAAUUCCUGGUGGAGCGGUGAAAUGCGUAGAGAUCGGAAAGAACACCAACGGCGAAAGCACUCUGCUGGGCCGACACUGACACUGAGAGACGAAAGCUAGGGGAGCGAAUGGG